ensembl:snRNA Gm25633 U6 spliceosomal RNA
GUGCUUACUUCGGCAGCACAUAGACUAAAAUUGGAACUAUACAGAGAAGAUUAGCAUGGCCCCUGUGCAAGGAUGGCACUCAAAUUCAUGAAAGGUUCCAUAUUUUU